rnacentral:tRNA from 1 species
GGAGGGAUAGGUUAGCGGUAGAGUGCGUGCUUGGCAUGCACAAGGUCCUGGGUUCAAUCCCCAGUACUGCCA